rnacentral:lncRNA from 1 species
CACAAACUGAACUACAAGAAACUUCAUUUAAACUUGAGAGGGUGUGUAUUGUUUGGGGUUGGUUUUUUUUUGAUUGUGUUGUUGUAAAUGACGAGGGGGACCAAGCACUGGAAGAAACUGCCUGGAGAAGUUGAGUAUCUGUCCCUGGAGGUAUCCAAAACUAAAGUGGACAUGGCCCUGAGCAAUCUGCACUAGUUGACCCUGUCUUGAACUGGGUGAUCCACAGAGAUCCCUUUCAACGUAAACUUGUAUCAUUCUGCGUUUCUUCCACAGUAUUGGAAGUUGAACACCUGCAGUUUGUGACAAGAUGGCAUAAGUGGCUUUUUGAAAACUUUGCAACAAAUGAAUAGUGGCUCUGAAACCUAAACUCGCCUAAAACAUAAUUCCAGGUCUUUUCCUUUUACAGGAUAGAAAUAAGAAGUGUUGCUGUUGACUUUUAUCCAAAACUCUUGAGGAAAAGACUGAUGGGACUUUUGUCUUCUCUGAGAACUGGGAGUCUGGGACUUUGGCUGGUCUGUGCCUGCCCAGGUGAGCCCAGCUGUAUUCCGUUGCCUUUCAGAACUGUGCAGUUACUGUUGGCGUUUGAACAUCAUUUUGACUGUUGAGCUUUCUGCACAAGGGAGCCAGUUUCUUAGAAAAUAGAUAGCUAUGCAGAAGGGCAAGGAAAAUGGAGUGCUUGAUCCUGCUGAUGGCCUAUGUGAGAGAUACUGUGAAGGCUACUACUCUGAUCCCUAUAAAUAAUAAAUAAAAUGUUGAAUAAAAGGUUUUUCA